UACGUAGGGUGCAAGCGUUAAUCGGAAUUACUGGGCGUAAAGCGUGCGCAGGCGGUUUUGUAAGACAGUGGUGAAAUCCCCGGGCUCAACCUGGGAACUGCCAUUGUGACUGCAAGGCUGGAGUGCGGCAGAGGGGGAUGGAAUUCCGCGUGUAGCAGUGAAAUGCGUAGAUAUGCGGAGGAACACCGAUGGCGAAGGCAAUCCCCUGGGCCUGCACUGACGCUCAUGCACGAAAGCGUGGGGAGCAAACAG
rnacentral:rRNA from 1 species